GUUCUCAUAGUGUAGAUAGCACAUGAGAUUUUCAAUUUCAUAGGGCACUAUUUAAUAACUAAGUGCUGAGAAUA
rnacentral:tRNA from 1 species